CAUGAACUCCUUAUUGCCAAAUUCAGACUUAAAUUGAAGAAAGUAGGGAAAACCUCUAGACCAUUCAGGACAUACAGAAUGGAUUAAAGAGAAAAAGACAAAGGAAAAGGUUAAAGUUUUCCCCAAAGCACCUGUAUCUUGAAUCUCACAGUCAAAACUAAGGAGAAUCACAGUGAUAUGGAAGGAAUAACGUUAAUACUCUGAAGAGUAUGGCUGGUGGUGAGAAAGCUUCAUUAAAAGCUGACCAUCAGAGAAGGCAAUGGCACCCCACUCCAGUACUCUUGCCUAGAAAAUCCAUGGACGGAGGAGCCUGGAGCCAAGAGAAGGCAUCAGACAGGAUUCCACCAGGCUCCCAUCAGCACCUCUGCGUAAUCUCCUUGCAUCUCCGCUGUUGCCAUGGACAGAGCAUCUUGCCUCAUCUUAUUGGAUAUGGUCUUUCAAGAAUCACCUUCUUCAGCAUCAAUAAUCAUUGAAAUAAAUGUAUAGAAAUUAACACACGUGCUAUGCAAAGUGGAGAAGGAAAUGGCAACCCACUCCAGUGUUCUUGCCUGGAGAAUCCCAGGGACGGGGGAGCCUGGUGGGCUGCCGCCUCUGGGGUCACACAGAGUCGGACACAACUGAAGCGACUGAGCAGCAGCAGCAGCUAUGGAAAGAAAAAGAGCCAUGAUAGAAAUAAC
ensembl:lncRNA